UACGAAGGGGGCUAGCGUUGUUCGGAAUUACUGGGCGUAAAGCGCACGUAGGCGGGUUGUUAAGUCAGGGGUGAAAUCCUGGAGCUCAACUCCAGAACUGCCUUUGAUACUGGCAACCUAGAGACUGGAAGAGGUUAGUGGAAUUCCCAGUGUAGAGGUGAAAUUCGUAGAUAUUGGGAAGAACACCAGUGGCGAAGGCGGCUAACUGGGACGGUACUGACGCUGAGACGCGAAAGCGUGGGGAGCAAACAGG
rnacentral:rRNA from 1 species